rnacentral:rRNA from 1 species
CCUACGGGCGACAGCAGUGGGGAAUAUUGGGCAAUGGGCGAAAGCCUGACCCAGCAACGCCGCGUGAAGGAAGAAGGCUUUCGGGGUGUACACUUCUUUUGACAGGGAAGAGCAGAAGACGGUACCUGUCGAAUAAGCCACGGCUAACUAAGUGCCAGCAGCCGCGGUAAUACGUAGGUGGCAAGCGUUGUCCGGAUUUACGGGGUGUAAAGGGCGUGUAGCCGGGCUGACAAGUCAGAUGUGAAAUCCGGGGGCUCAACCCCCGAACUGCAUUUGAAACUGUUGGUCUUGAGUAUCGGAGAGGCAGGCGGAAUUCCUAGUGUAGCGGUGAAAUGCGUAGAGAUUAGGAAGAACACCAGUGGCGAAGGCGGCCUGCUGGACCACAACUGACGGUGAGGCGCGAAAGCGUGGGGAGCAAACAGGAUUAGAUACCCUGGUAGUC